rnacentral:rRNA from 1 species
UACGAGGGGGGCGAGCGUUGUCCGGAAUCACUGGGCGUAAAGGGCGCGUAGGCGGUCCGAUAAGUCGGCUGUGAAAGUCAGGGGCUCAACCCUUGAAAGCCGGCCGAUACUGUCGGACUAGAGUCCGGAAGAGGCAAGUGGAAUUCCCGGUGUAGCGGUGAAAUGCGCAGAUAUCGGGAAGAACACCCGUGGCGAAGGCGGCUCUCUGGAACGCAACUGACGCUGAGACGCGAAAGCGUGGGGAGCAAACAGG